CUUGGUUGCUCACAAGCAGGUCAAGUUCAUUCUUAUAUAAUCUAAAAGUAAAUUCAAAUAUCAAAUAAUUUUUCAAGAAUAUUAAUUGAGUAAAAGGUUUGUCAUAAAUUCUGAUAGUGUUUUCAAGAUAACUCAAAGUGCCACCAGAAUUUUUUUGUUCCAAGGAGGGCCUAUUUCAUCUUUGAUCAUAUAAGAAACUUUUUCCUUCAUAUUGACUAGUUCAUUCUUGAAGAUGUUGAAGUGCAAGUAAUUUUUCCAAAUGCCUGUUCUAUAAUAAGCCGUCUCUAAAGACUUAUUUUUUUUUCAUCUUGUUAUUAAUUAUGAAACUGACUAUUUUUCGAACAAUUUUUAUCCUAAGUUCCAGCAGACAGAUUUUUGUUAGAAAUAUUACUGAUUCAAUAAAAUCUUUUCAUAAUGGAGAAACGUAGUAAAGAAAGGAGGUGAUUUCGUUUUUUUUAAUUCUUCUCUAUCUGCUUCAAAAUAGUAAACUAUAUCAGUUGUAAAGUUAUUGGAUGUCUCUUCAUUCUAUAUUUGAUGAUGAUACUACAACAUCAGGAAAAACCUUUGAGAAUCAAUUUGGUCUUCAGAUCUAAUGAGAUAACUCAAUAAAUUAUAAGUGAAAAAAAAAUUAUUAAGAAGUUAACUUUGGAAAUACUGGCAACACAUCUUUCUUUUAUCUAAGAUGUCAAAAUCUAUUUUUAUUAUUCCCCAAAAUAUUGAUGCUUCAAUUGAGAAUGAGGAUCAGUGUAAGGACACAAAUUCUAACAUCGUCAAAGGUGUGAAUACCGAUAAUGGGGAAUUCUUCUCAACUUGAGCUAUUACUGUAAAUGCAGGUUUUAACUUCAUGGUUUUUUUCAAAUUCGCUCCAGAAAUUAUCCAAGCUCAUAUUUCAGUUUCAAAUUUUAUGUAGUGUUGUUUCCGUGCACAAAAAGGUAACAGCGCCACUUGAUCUGUUCUCAGAUGCCAUACUUCUCAAGAAUGAGAUGGAACGACUUUGGGCACCUACAACUGUCAAAAAAUAAGAUUGUAUAUUGUUUACCAAAUAACAACUGGUGAUUUUCAAGAAGCCAUCUUCGUUUAUCUAAUCGACUUUAGCAAUCUGUUGUCCUUCAUUAUCUACGUAAUCUGUAUCGAUAUUGACGAAUGGUGAAAUAGACUCCCUAUAAAUUUUUAGUCCCCAUAUUUAUUUUUAUUUUUUAAGUACUCGAAAUGAGUUUUUCAGGGAAGAGGUUGAAAUAAUGUGUUUGAAAGGGGAAGUUAUGAAGAUAUUUCAUAAAUGGAGAAUUCCCCAUUCAUGAAACAAGACAAGAAGUCGUAGGAAAAGCUUAUUUUCUCCUUUGUAAAUUGUUUUGAACAUAUUCAAAAUGAAAUAACAAUUGUACUUGAGUAUUGUUGCUCAUUUUUUCAAACGAAUAAGUGGUGAAUGUUUGUGCUAAUGCUACUCUUCAUCGUACAAGGUACACUACAUAUUUUUGAAGUUGAACUAUAAAGUAAAUACAUUAUAGCUGAAACUCGCAUGUAAGUAUUAAAUCAAUAAUCAUCAGUUUUGUUAUUAAAUGAAAAUUUUUCAGGUUACUACUUCCUCAGAAUUAAAAGCUGAAAGCUCUUUACUAUAUGUGUCCGGAAAAAAUAUAUUGAUGAAAUAGUAAAAUAAAAUGUAGUAAUUCAUUUGGAUAUGUCAGAAUAACAGAAGUUCAUUCAAUUUGAGACAGGAAAAUUUAGUUCGACAUACACAUUAUGGGAAACGCUAUUUUAUCUCUGUGGAGCUUUUCAAUGUAUAAUCAAUGAAAUGCACGAGGGUGGUACACAAAAGAGGCCACCUAACACUGAAUGCCUAAUCCUCUAAGGUAUAUAUUACCUACUAUCAAAAGGAAGACUGCCGAAGAAUUAGAUUGUCAAGAAAUGCACUCAUGGACAUAAGAAUGGGAUAUUUUCCAUAAUAAGUUGAAAAUGAUUCCUUAAUACUGAUGUUCAAUUACUUAAUCUUGUAUUGUUGAUAAUUGUGUAUUAUAUGAAUGGACUGAACCUUAAAUUAUUUCAGUCUGAAAUAGUGUUCAUUUUGAUAGUCAGCUUCCAAGUUCAGUUAGUUCUAAAUAGCAGCUGAGCAAGUUAGUAUCCCUGUACAUAGUGAAUGAAUGGAAGUAUUCAAGUUGUUACUAAUUGCUGAGAUGAGUACUUUAGUAUUAACUGAACUGAACAAAAAUUUUAUCAAACGAAUCAUUAACUAAAAAAACUUUACCAACUCUUCGAAAGUACUUGUGAAUUUUAAAUUGAAUCAAAAUUGGAUUGCAUCUAUAGAAAAUAUUUAUUAUGAAAUCUUUCGCUUGAAUUGGAACAAUCAAAUCAUUCCAGCCAUCCCUUUUAUUGACAGAGUAAAAAUAUAUUUUGGAGUAUCGCCCGAUCAUCGGUAUUUUAUUUAUCAUACACAUUUCAAUUAUAUGUAAGAUAUGAAAUCAUCUUAGUUUAUUUAUAAUUACCAUUGAAUUGCAAAACUCUGUUUUGUAUUAUUUUAUUAAUUAUUAUAAUGAAAGAAUUUAUAACUAUACUUGAAUAAAUCGAUUUCGAAA